GGGACACCCAAAGGGGGACAGUGAGCCCACUGUGUCUUUUAGAACCCAAAGCGAGUUACUGCAAACCUCAGGCAAUUGAAGUGAAUAUUGGCUAGCUCAAAAGGCUGUGAAGAUGACCACCGUAUCUAUCUGAGUAAUUUUUUUCUUCUGUCUCAGUCUUGAAAUCAGGCAUGGUUAUUUUUAUUUUCGGUGUAUGCAGGCUUAACCUAUGUGCUUAUAUUCACAAUGAACUCUUGAAUCGGAUCCUCUGUGUUUUGCUGGGGAGUAUUCAUUCCCCACUUGACCUGCUUUGUUGCUCAAAACUUUGUAGCUCAUCUUUGCCUUCCCGUCUGUUUAUUCUUGGUGUGGGGUUGUCAAGGAGAAAUGUUGGAAGGGAGAGAAGGGAGCAGGCAUCAUAGAUGGUAUUACAGGCGGCUGGUCUCUCCUCUCUCAGCCAACUAUGAGAACUAUUUGGGAUUGAAGGAGAUAAGCUACAGCAAGUCGUUACUUGUCCUGAAUGCACGACCUUCUUUCUUUGAGCAAGAGGACAAACCUGGGUAGGGAUCUCUAUGAUGUUUUCUGCGUUGCCCGUGGACGUUCAUCUUUCUGAUUUGUUAGCUGAAGAUGAGGAUCUGGAGCAGGAGCUCGGAGUGCCAUUGUUCCAUGGGCAGAUGUGCAGCAGAGAUUAGCAUUAGGAAGACAAGCAGGGCCUUCAGUAGGCAUAAGGUGAUGAGGUUCAUGCCGUUGGAUCCCACGGGUGCCCUGGGGAAGAGAUGGUUGGGAAGUCUGAGAGGAAGCAGGAGAGCUUUCGGAGCACAUGGAUGCCGUCCAGAAUGGAGAUGGUUGUGGCUCGGAAGAAAAAGAAAUCACCCAGCUCGGAGUCAGGAUACAUUUGGAGGUCCAGGCCGCCGAGUUUGCUGGUGGGGAAGAUAGGCACCAGAAAGGAAAGAGGACAUCCAGGGCAAUUUCUUCUGCCCCCCAGCCAAUCCGUACAUUGUCCAGAGGCCAAGCCUACUGCUGUUAGAAAACAUAUUUAGAAAUCACUUGGUUCUUCCUUGCCUGAACAUCAUCUAUUUAGUUAGCUUGUGUUGUUUAGAUGUGCUUCAGAUCUCAAAAAAAUAAAUUAUGUUAUUUGAAAGCUUGCUCUCUGCUUGUUUACACUAUUAAUUUAGAGUCCAGAGGAAUCUCUAAAUUUGCCUCUAGAAACCACAUAAUCACCUAAUAAUACCUUUCCUGACUCCACUUUCUGACACAAAGUGACUUUUGAAACGCUUCCAUCUUCCCUUUCUAUUUAAUGUACUGCACUCCACUCUUUUUUCCUUUCGUUUUUUCUACAGUCCGUCAUGGAGUAUUUGUUUACCAAAUGUUACUUUUCUUGGAUCCAAUCUAUUUUUGAAGAGCGCAAAAGCAAACAACUGUUUGAAGCUGUCAAGCUUCAUUUUAUUUAUGCAUGAAUAACACAAAUAACUUGAAAAUGACCUAGUCUGUUUUUCUCAGAUUUAGAUAGAAAAACUGCUUCCGGCCAAUGUUUAUGCCAAUUUGUUCAUGCCAAGUUUCCAGUUUCGGUGCCAACCGGUUUUUACAGCCAAGUUGUAAACCUUCGGUAAACAUGGCUUAUAAUGAAAAGUGCAACACAGCCUGAACCCUGGCACCAGGGGACGGAUGUAAAUUUAUUCUAAGAACAAAAUUCUAACAGGAACAGGAGGGGAGCUAGGCUGGCUACAAAGUGUUCCCACCGUAAUAUGGAAAAUGUACAGAUGAUGAUAUAUUUGAUUACUAAGAUCCCAUUAGGCCAAUUUAGGCAC
rnacentral:lncRNA from 1 species